AUUUGUCUGAUCCUGCAGGUGACCGAUGGAAACUGUCUUUCAGGCUGCAGUUUCAAAGGAUCUUUUCUGAUUCUCUGGGUCUUGUCCAAUGGUCAGGCGUCUCACAUCAUCCGGCCGCCCAGUCGGUUCCAGAGGAUCGAGCCGUCUGUCUCUCCAGAACAAAGACCACUGUUAAACUAGGCUGGAGCAACAGAAGAUGGUUAUGAUGACUGAAAUGAAGCAACCUCAUGUACAGUAAAUGUAAAUCACAUGCCACAGUACGAAUUAUAGAAAUGUUCUUGCUCAAUCUAUGUGGGCCAAAUUGGAGCCCAGGAAAGACUUUACAAUUUUUAGCCACAGUAAUGUUGGAUACUGUCAGUUGUACAUAUUCUAGAUCCAAUGUCAAUUCAAUGAUCAAAUGUCACACAGAAAAAGGCUAAUUCUAUUAUAUUCAUAGUUUUUAGUAAUAAACUACACUGUCAAACAGUUAUCUGGAAAAUUAUUUAUGUUUAAAG
ensembl:lncRNA